UACGUAGGGGGGCAAGCGUUGUCCGGAAUCAUUGGGCGUAAAGAGCGCGUAGGCGGCCCAGUAAGUCCGCUCUGAAAGUCAGGGGCUCAACCCCUGAAUGCGGGUGGAUACUGCUGGGCUAGAGUCCGGAAGAGGCGAGUGGAAUUCCUGGUGUAGCGGUGAAAUGCGCAGAUAUCAGGAGGAACACCGAUGGCGAAGGCAGCUCGCUGGGACGGUACCGAGCUGAGGCGCGAAAGCGUGGGGGGAGCAAAACAGG
rnacentral:rRNA from 1 species